GUGCACCAGGCGAGAAACCUCCGCAAUGCGGGAAACCGCGACGGGGUCAGCCGGAGUGCCGAUGCUUGCAUCGGCUGUCGGGGAGCCUAAAAAGCUCUCCAAGCAAGGGCCGGGCAAGGCCGGUGGCAGCCGCCGCGGUAAUACCGGCGGCCCGAGUGGCGGUCACUAUUAUUGGGCUUAAAGCGUCCGUAGCCGGGUUGGUUAGUCUCCCGGGAAAUCUGGCCGCUCAACGGUCAGAAUUCCGGGAGAUACUGCCAGCCUAGGGACCGGGAGAGGCCGAGGGUAUUCCCGGAGUAGGGGUGAAAUCCUAUAAUCCCGGGAGGACCACCUGUGGCGAAGGCGCUCGGCUGGAACGGGUCCGACGGUGAGGGACGAAGGCCAGGGGAGCAAACCGGAUUAGAUACCCUCGUAGUCC
rnacentral:rRNA from 1 species